rnacentral:rRNA from 1 species
AGCGAACGCUGGCGGCAGGCCUAACACAUGCAAGUCGAACGGACCAUUCGGGGUUAGUGGCGGACGGGUGAGUAACACGGUGGAACGUGCCUUUAGGUUCGGAAUAACGCAGGGGAACACGUGCUAAUACCGAAGGUGCUCUCCCGUGGAAAGAUUAAUCGCCUUUGGAGCGGCCCGCGUCUGAAUAGCUAGGUGGUUGGGGAAAAGGCCCACCAAGGCGACGAGCGGUAACUGGUCUGAGGGGAGGAUCAGCCACACUGUGACUGAGACACGGCCCAGACUCCGACGGGAGGCAGCAGUGGGGAAUAUUGGACAAUGGGCGAAAGCCUGAUCCAGCCAUGCCGCGUGUGUGAAGAAGGUCUUCGGAUUGGAAAGAACUUUAAGUUGGGAGGAAGGGCAGUACGUUAAUACCUUGCUGUUUUGACGUUACCAACAGAAUAAGCACCGGCUAACUUCGUG